CCUACGGGGGGCAGCAGUGGGGAAUAUUGGGCAAUGGGCGCAAGCCUGACCCAGCAACGCCGCGGGAAGGAAGAAGGCUUUCGGGUUGUAAACUUCUUUUCUCAGGGACGAAGCUAGUGACGGUACCUGAGGAAUAAGCCACGGCUAACUACGUGCCAGCAGCCGCGGUAAUACGUAGGUGGCAAGCGUUAUCCGGAUUUACUGGGUGGAAAGGGCGUGUAGGCGGGACUGCAAGUCAGGUGUGAAAACCACGGGCCCAACCUGUGGCCUGCAUUUGAAACUGUAGUUCUUGAGUACUGGAGAGGCGGACGGAAUUCCUAGUGUAGCGGUGAAAUGCGGAGAUAUUAGGAGGAACACCAGUGGCGAAGGCGGUCUGCUGGACAGCAACUGACGCUGAGGCGCGAAAGCGUGGGGAGCAAACAGGAUUAGAUACCCGAGUAGUC
rnacentral:rRNA from 1 species